CUUAUACAACCCUCUUCCAGGUAAAUAUGUUGGAAAUCGACCCAUAAAACUGCGGAAGAGCAAUUGGAAGGAGAGGACAGAUUUCGAUGCCCUUGGAAGGCAUAAGAAUCACAAUCAAAAGAAACCGAAGCUUCCAAAGAAGAGUUUCUUGCACAAGUGAUCAGUGGAAUGUGUGUACACAUAUGAUGAAACUUUUGAGUGAGCAAUUAGAAUGUAUCUCUAAGAAUCUUUUACCCCUCCUUUUAAUAGAUAAUGACUUGAAUUAGUUUGUAUCUGUUUCAAUAUAAAAUUUCAGUAACCAAUUAUUUAGCUUUCA